GGCGGAGCACGGCCAGGCUGGAGGAGGUGGAAGGGGGGCCCAGAGAGGGAGGCGACCAGGCCAAGGGCAGAGGGGCUGGGGGCCACCCCUGCUGGGGAGAGCUUCUGCCUGCCAAGUGGCCCAGCCUCCGCAUGGCGCUGGUCACUAAAGGUCCCACCCGACACCCACCUCAUGUCUAGCCCCUUCUGUGGCGCUUCCAGCUGCCAUUCCACUUCCUCCAGCCUCGGUUUCCUCUUCUCCAAGAGGCUGGGGGACACCCUGCAGCUUGGAGCUGAUGCGUGAGGUCCGGCCCAGUGCAGGAGCUCCGGUGUAUGAAUGGCCAGUAACACACACAAGAUGUUCAGCAUAGCUGCACUGACGUGAGGGGCCCAGCGCUGUCAUGUUCACAGAAACGGCGCAGAGAAGAUGUCCCACUCUGCAGGGAGGUCCUUGCAGUGGGAACAAGGGGGUGAUCGUUCAGCCCGGGCUCUUCCUCCAGGGGAGCCAGGGGCCAUUUGGAGGCCAGGACCACCAGGUGGAGGGCCCCCUUGCCCAGCCAGGGCCAGCCGGAGCUGGGGUCUCUGCCUCUGCCCCACGGGCCUGAUGUCGUGUAGGAGGGUCCUGAGAUGGUAAAGUGAGGAUACUGGAGAGAACACCCCGCCGGUCUCGGGGCCACAAGCCCCGAUUAGAUCCUGCAGAGGGACAGAGACGUCCUCCUCACGGGGAGCUGGGAGGGACUAUCAGCUGGAGAGUCACCAGAGGGCACGACAGGGCAUCUCUCUGGCCCUCCGUCUCUUCAUCCACAUGAGGGGAUUAAUAACAGCGCCCGACCCACGGGCUCUUUGAGACCACGCUCACCAUGCCCUGGCGCACGAACAGCAGCUUUGAAAUCAAUCUGUGCUGGAAGCUGUUCGAUAAACUGUGGAACGAGGCCUUCGACAAGAUCCUGCGCAACAGUCAGAACUCAUUGCAGAGGCACGUUUAAUGGUCCGGGUGAACACUCAUGAUGCAUUGUUAAGUGAAAAAGAGUAAUUAAUGGCGAUCUGGGUGUUUACCCAACGACCAUC